rnacentral:rRNA from 1 species
AGUGAACGCUGGCGGUAGGCCUAACACAUGCAAGUCGAACGGCAGCACAGUAAGAGCUUGCUCUUACGGGUGGCGAGUGGCGGACGGGUGAGGAAUACAUCGGAAUCUACUUUUUCGUGGGGGAUAACGUAGGGAAACUUACGCUAAUACCGCAUACGACCUACGGGUGAAAGCAGGGGAUCUUCGGACCUUGCGCGAUUGAAUGAGCCGAUGUCGGAUUAGCUAGUUGGCGGGGUAAAGGCCCACCAAGGCGACGAUCCGUAGCUGGUCUGAGAGGAUGAUCAGCCACACUGGAACUUAAACACGGUCCAUACUCCUACGGGAGGCAGCAGUGGGGAAUAUUGGACAAUGGGCGCAAACCUUAUCCAGCCAUACCACGUGUGUGAAGAAGGCCUUCGGGUUGUAAAGCCCUUUUGUUGGGAAAGAAAAGCAGCAGGUUAAUACCCCGCUGUUCUGACGGUACCCAAAGAAUAAGCACCGGCUAACUUCGUG